GAUGAACGCUGGCGGCGUGCUUAACACAUGCAAGUCGAACGAAGCAUUUAAGACAGAUUACUUCGGUUUGAAGUCUUUUAUGACUGAGUGGCGGACGGGUGAGUAACUCGUGGGUAACCUGCCUCAUACAGGGGGAUAGCAGCUGGAAACGGCUGGUAAUACCGCAUAAGCGCACAGUACCACAUGGUACAGUGUGAAAAACUCCGGUGGUAUGAGAUGGACCCGCGUCUGAUUAGCUAGUUGGCGGGGUAACGGCCCACCAAGGCGACGAUCAGUAGCCGACCUGAGAGGGUGACCGGCCACAUUGGGACUGAGACACGGCCCAGACUCCUACGGGAGGCAGCAGUGGGGAAUAUUGCACAAUGGAGGAAACUCUGAUGCAGCGACGCCGCGUGAGUGAAGAAGUAGUUCGCUAUGUAAAGCUCUAUCAGCAGGGAAGAUAGUGACGGUACCUGACGAAGAAGCUCCGGCUAAAUACGUG
rnacentral:rRNA from 1 species